CAAUAAGCGGAGGAAAAGAAACCAACAGGGAUUGCCUCAGUAACGGCGAGUGAAGCGGCAUCAGCUCAAAUUUGAAAUCUGGCUCUUUGCAGGGUCCGAGUUGUAAUUUGCAGAGGGCGCUUUGGCGUUUGCAGCGGUCCAAGUUCCUUGGAACAGGACGUCACAGAGGGUGAGAAUCCCGUACGUGGUCGCCAGCAUUCGCCGUGUAAAGCCCCUUCGACGAGUCGAGUUGUUUGGGAAUGCAGCUCUAAAUGGGAGGUAAAUUUCUUCUAAAGCUAAAUACGGGCCAGAGACCGAUAGCGCACAAGUAGAGUGAUCGAAAGAUGAAAAGCACUUUGGAAAGAGAGUCAAACAGCACGUGAAAUUGUUGAAAGGGAAGCGCUUGCAGCCAGACUUGCCUGUAGUUGCUCAUCCGAGCUUUUUGCGCGGUGCACUCUUCUGCAGGCAGGCCAGCAUCAGUUUGGGCGGUUGGAUAAAGGCCUCUGUCACGUACCUCCUUUCGGGGAGGCCUUAUAGGGGAGGCGACAUGCAACCAGCCUGGACUGAGGUCUGCGCAUCUGCUAGGAUGCUGGCGUAAUGGCUGUAAGCGGCCCGUCUUGAAACACGGACCAAGGAGUCUAACAUCUAUGCGAGUGUUUGGGUGUCAAGCCCAAGCGCGGAAUGAAAGUGAACGGAGGUGGGAUCCCAUUAGGGUGCACCAUCGACCGAUCCUGAUGUCUUCGGAUGGAUUUGAGUAAGAGCAUGGCUGUUGGGACCCGAAAGAUGGUGAACUAUGCUUGAAUAGGGUGAAGCCAGAGGAAACUCUGGUGGAGGCUCGCAGCGGUUCUGACGUGCAAAUCGAUCGUCAAAUUUGGGCAUAGGGGCGAAAGACUAAUCGAACUAUCUAGUAGCUGGU
rnacentral:rRNA from 1 species